rnacentral:rRNA from 1 species
GUGGGGAAUUUUGGACAAUGGGCGCAAGCCUGAUCCAGCAAUGCCGCGUGCAGGAAGAAGGCCUUCGGGUUGUAAACUGCUUUUGUACGGAACGAAACGGUCCUGGUUAAUACCUGGGGCUAAUGACGGUACCGUAAGAAUAAGCACCGGCUAACUACGUGCCAGCAGCCGCGGUAAUACGUAGGGUGCGAGCGUUAAUCGGAAUUACUGGGCGUAAAGCGUGCGCAGGCGGUGCUGUAAGACAGGCGUGAAAUCCCCGGGCUCAACCUGGGAAUUGCGCUUGUGACUGCAAGGCUGGAGUGCGGCAGAGGGGGAUGGAAUUCCGCGUGUAGCAGUGAAAUGCGUAGAUAUGCGGAGGAACACCGAUGGCGAAGGCAAUCCCCUGGGCCUGCACUGACGCUCAUGCACGAAAGCGUGGGGAGCAAACAGGAUUAGAUACCCCAGUAGUCC